rfam:Felis catus isolate Cinnamon breed Abyssinian chromosome A3, whole genome shotgun sequence.
ACCUGGGUGGCUCAGUCGGUUAAGCAUCUGACUUCGGCUCAGGUCAUGAUCUCGCGGGUCGUGGGUUCGAGCCCUGCAUCAGGCU